CACCCCUGUUUUGGAAAAACCUGACGUUUCACAUUCCUCUCCACUCCAGUAUAAAUACCCCUUUAACCCACGAUUGAAAGAGAGCUUCCAGAGAGAAUUUUGAGAGAGAAACCCUAAAGAAAAACAAGAUAGUUUCACACACAAUCUAUACCUUAGAGUCUCUUCAAAUUCCCUUACUCUCUUCCUCUCCAUUGUCAAAACCUUGAGAGGCAUUAUACCAAACCUGGUUCUCACCAUUAUCAUCUCUGUGAGACAGUCGUUUGGAGUUCUGGGAAGCAGUUAGGAAGGAGCCAAUCUUCAUUGGUUGAUGCUAUGGUCUAGUAGCGGAAUCCGGGAAGCUAGAAAAGAAAAAGGUUCGGCGCAACCUCGUUGGAGCAAGAAGCUUGGAGGGCUUAGGUACAUCAGGUAGAUUAGGCUUGGAGGGUCUAUUGCUGUUCAUGUAUCCCAACUACAUUUUCUAGUGGAUUAUUGACCGCUUGGAGGGCGGCGGAGAGGUUUUACACCGAGGGCUUCGGUUUCCUCUUCGAUAACACAUCGUGUGUUGUCCUUGUGUUUGAAUCUCUCUUCCCUUUAUCUUUGCCUUUUAUUUUCUGCUGUGGAUGUGAUUUAUAAUU